GAUGAACGCUGGCUACAGGCUUAACACAUGCAAGUCGAGGGGAAACGGCAUUUGGUGCUUGCACCGAAUGGACGUCGACCGGCGCACGGGUGAGUAACGCGUAUCCAACCUUCCCGUUACUGCGGGAUAACCUGCCGAAAGGCAGACUAAUACCGCAUGUUCUUCGAUGACGGCAUCAGAUUCGAAGCAAAGAUCCGUCGGUAACGGAGGGGGAUGCGUCUGAUUAGCUAGUUGGCGGGGCGACGGCCCACCAAGGCGACGAUCAGUAGGGGUUCUGAGAGGAAGGUCCCCCACAUUGGAACUGAGACACGGUCCAAACUCCUACGGGAGGCAGCAGUGAGGAAUAUUGGUCAAUGGGCGGAAGCCUGAACCAGCCAAGUAGCGUGCAGGAUGACGGCCCUACGGGUUGUAAACUGCUUUUAUGCGGGGAUAACGUGAGGGACGCGUCCCUUUUUGCAGGUACCGCAUGAAUAAGGACCGGCUAAUUCCGUGCCAGCAGCCGCGGUAAUACGGAAGGUCCGGGCGUUAUCCGGAUUUAUUGGGUUUAAAGGGAGCGUAGGCCGGGGAUUAAGUGUGUUGUGAAAUGUAGGCGCCCAACGUCUGACUUGCAGCGCAUACUGGUUCCCUUGAGUACGCGCAACGCCGGCGGAAUUCGUCGUGUAGCGGUGAAAUGCUUAGAUAUGACGAGGAACCCCGAUUGCGAAGGCAGCCGGCGGGAGCGCAACUGACGCUGAAGCUCGAAGGUGCGGGUAUCGAACAGG
rnacentral:rRNA from 1 species